rnacentral:rRNA from 1 species
CCUACGGGUGGCUGCAGUGGGGAAUAUUGGACAAUGGGCGAAAGCCUGAUCCAGCCAUGCCGCGUGUGUGAAGAAGGCCUUCGGGUUGUAAAGCACUUUCAGUGGGGAAGAAAGCCUUGGGGCUAAUACCCUCGAGGAAGGACAUCACCCACAGAAGAAGCACCGGCUAACUCCGUGCCAGCAGCCGCGGUAAUACGGAGGGUGCGAGCGUUAAUCGGAAUUACUGGGCGUAAAGCGCGCGUAGGCGGUCUGAUAAGCCGGUUGUGAAAGCCCCGGGCUCAACCUGGGAACGGCAUCCGGAACUGUCAGGCUAGAGUGCAGGAGAGGAAGGUAGAAUUCCCGGUGUAGCGGUGAAAUGCGUAGAGAUCGGGAGGAAUAGCAGUGGCGAAGGCGGCCUUCUGGACUGACACUGACGCUGAGGUGCGAAAGCGUGGGUAGCAAACAGGAUUAGAUACCCCAGUAGUC